CAAAAACAUCUUUUCUUGUUAGUUUUUGAAGUAUGGCCUGCCCGCUGACGUUCGGAGUUGAAGGGCCGCGGUAUUUUGACCGUGCAAAGGUAGCAUAGUCAUUAGUUCUUUAAUUGUGAUCUGGUAUGAAUGGCUUGACGAGACAUGGGCUGUCUUGAGUGUGAAUUUAUUGUUGAAUUUGGAGUUUGAGUUAAAAUUCUUAGAUGUUUUUAUGGGACGAGAAGACCCUAUAGAGUUUGACAUUUGAUUGCGUAUUUCUUAUUGUUUGUUUUGAAUUAUUUGCGUUUCUUUUGUUUUGUUGGGGUGAUGGGAGGAAUUUAUUUAACUCCUCUUUUACGUGGUAUAUUGAUUUAUAUUUGUUUUGAUCCAUUUAUUUUGAUUAUAAGAUUAAAUUACCUUAGGGAUAACAGCGUUAUCUUCCCUGAGAGUUCUUAUUGGCGGGGGGGUUUGCGACCUCGAUGUUGGAUUAAGGUUGAUUUUUGGUGUAGGAGCUGAAUUGAUUAGGUCUGUUCGACCUUUAAAAUCUUAC
rnacentral:rRNA from 1 species